AGUGAACGCUGGCGGUAGGCCUAACACAUGCAAGUCGAACGGCAGCACAGUAAGAGCUUGCUCUUACGGGUGGCGAGUGGCGGACGGGUGAGGAAUAUAUCGGAAUCUACUUUUUCGUGGGGGUUAACGUAGGGAAACUUACGCUAAUAUCGCAUACGACCUACGGGUGAAAGCAGGGGAUCUUCGGACCUUGCGCGAUUGAAUGAGCCGAUGUCGGAUUAGUUGGUUGGCGGGGUAAUGGCCCACGAAGGCGAGGAUCCGUAGCUGGUGUGAGUGGAUGGUCGGCGGCACGGGAGCGUGACCGGGGUCCAGAGUCCUACGGGACGCAGCAGUGUGGAAUAUUGGACAAAGGGCGCAAGCCUGAUCCAGCCAGACCGAGUGGGUGAAGAAGGCCUUCGGUUUGUAAAGCCCUUUUGUUGGGAAAGAAAAGCAGCAGGUUAAUACCCCGCUGUUCUGACGGUACCCAAAGAAUAAGCACCGGCUAACUUCGUG
rnacentral:rRNA from 1 species